UACGAGCGAAAGCUUAAAACUCAAAGGACCUGACGGUGUCCCACACCAACCUAGAGGAGCCUGUCCCAUAAUCGAUAAUCCGCGAUAAACCUCACCGCCCCUGGCCCACCCAGUCUAUAUACCGCCGUCGCCAGCCUAUCUCACAAGAGUCAAUGGCCAAACAGCAGCACAGCACUGCUAAUACGACAGGUCAAGGCGUAACUCAUGGGGCGGAGAAGAUUGGCUACAAUGCCUACCUACAAGGCUAAACGAAACAUACCAUGAAACUGGGAUAAGAAGAUGAAUUUAGC
rnacentral:rRNA from 1 species